CUGGCUCAGGACGAACGCUGGCGGCGUGCCUAAUACAUGCAAGUCGAGCGGAUCAAAGGGAGCUUGCUCCCGGAGAUUAGCGGCGGACGGGUGAGUAACACGUGGGCAACCUGCCCUGUAGACUGGGA
rnacentral:rRNA from 1 species